UGAUGCGGUCGACGCCGUCGGGCGCGGGGAGGGCGGGGUUACGCUUGGCGUCCGUGACGGCGAGGCAGGAGAGGAUCUUGUGCAGGGGCGUGUGCCGCCGGGGGUCGGAGAGCGGCAGGGCGGGGACGAGCUCCGUGCAGAUGUGGGAGAGCAGCUGCUCCGUGGAUCCGUCCACCUCGUGCGGGUCGAGCCCCCUGUGCCGCAGAUCGGCCUCCGUCAAGGGAUCCACGUUGGUGAACGGCGGCCGGCCGGCCAUGGUCGCCGGACGAUGAGGCGGCGAGGGUUUGGGGAUUUGGGGGUGGCGAGUGAGAGGAGCGGAGAGAGUGGUCUGCUUUUUUUUCCUUUUUCUUUUUUC
rnacentral:rRNA from 1 species